rnacentral:rRNA from 1 species
ACUACGGGUGGCUGCAGUGGGGAAUAUUGCACAAUGGGCGCAAGCCUGAUGCAGCCAUGCCGCGUGUGUGAAGAAGGCCUUCGGGUUGUAAAGCACUUUCAGCGGGGAGGAAGGCGUUAAGGUUAAUAACCUUGGCGAUUGACGUUACCCGCAGAAGAAGCACCGGCUAACUCCGUGCCAGCAGCCGCGGUAAUACGGAGGGUGCAAGCGUUAAUCGGAAUUACUGGGCGUAAAGCGCACGCAGGCGGUCUGUCAAGUCGGAUGUGAAAUCCCCGGGCUCAACCUGGGAACUGCAUUCGAAACUGGCAGGCUAGAGUCUUGUAGAGGGGGGUAGAAUUCCAGGUGUAGCGGUGAAAUGCGUAGAGAUCUGGAGGAAUACCGGUGGCGAAGGCGGCCCCCUGGACAAAGACUGACGCUCAGGUGCGAAAGCGUGGGGAGCAAACAGGAUUAAACCCGUGUAGUC